rnacentral:rRNA from 1 species
UACGGGGGGAGCAAGCGUUGUUCAGAUUUACUGGGCGUAAAGGGCGCGUAGGCGGCGCAACAAGUCACUUGUGAAAUCUCCGGGCUUAACCCGGAGCGGCCAAGUGAUACUGUCGUGCUAGAGUGCGGAAGGGGCUACUGGAAUUCUCGGUGUAGCGGUGAAAUGCGUAGAUAUCGAGAGGAACACCUGCGGCGAAGGCGGGUAGCUGGGCCGACACUGACGCUGAGGAGCGAAAGCGUGGGGAGCGAACAGG